rnacentral:rRNA from 1 species
ACUUACAGCCAUACCACCCUGAACACUCCCGAUCUCGGAAGGCAAGCAGAGUCGGACCUGGUUAGUACUUAGAUUGGAGACCGCCUGGAAAUACCAGGUGCUGUAAGCU